UGGACUACGCGGGUUUCUAAUCCUGUUUGCUCCCCACGCUUUCGUAUCUCAGCGUCAGUACUCGUCCAGAACGCCGUCUACACCACUGGUGUUCCUCCUGAUAUCUACGCAUUUCACCGCUACACCAGGAAUUCCGCGUUCCUCUCCGAGACUCCAGCAUCCCAGUCUUCGGCGCACCCUCCCGGUUAAGCCGGGAGAUUUCACACCGAACUUAGGACACCGCCUACAUACUCUUUACGCCCAGUAACUCCGAACAACGCUUGCUGCCUACGUAUUACCGCGGCGGCUGACAC
rnacentral:misc_RNA from 1 species